rnacentral:rRNA from 1 species
UACGGAGGGUGCAAGCGUUAAUCGGAAUUACUGGGCGUAAAGCGCGCGCAGGCGGUUUUUUAAGUCAGAUGUGAAAUCCCCGGGCUCAACCUGGGAACUGCAUUUGAUACUGCCAAGCUAGAGUCUCGUAGAGGGGGGUAGAAUUCCAGGUGUAGCGGUGAAAUGCGUAGAGAUCUGGAGGAAUACCGAUGGCGAAGGCAACCCCCUGGACGAAGACUGACGCUCAGGUGCGAAAGCGUGGGGAGCAAACAGG